rnacentral:rRNA from 1 species
GAUGAACGCUGGCGGCGUGCCUAAUACAUGCAAGUCGAGCGACCAGACGAGGAGCUUGUUCCUUUAACGUUAGCGGCGGACGGGUGAGUAACGCGUGGAUAACAAUCUUCUAUGACUUGGAUGAUUACGUGAGACAGGUGAUGCUACUAGAUCACAUGAUGUACCGGUUGGAUCAACGGUUCUUGACGGUCUUCCCGAUUCUAUUAGCUGAAUCCGCGUCGCAUUAGCUAGUUGGUAAGGUAACGGCUAACCAAGGCAACGAUGCGUAGCCGACCUGAGAGGGUGAUCGGCCACACUGGAACUGAGACACGGUCCAGACUCCUACGGGAGGCAGCAGUGGGGAAUCUUGCGCAAUGGGCGAAAGCCUGACGCAGCAACGCCGCGUGAGUGAAGAAGGUCUUCGGAUCGUAAAACUCUGUUAUUAGGGAAGAAAAAAUGUGUGUUUAACUAUGGACGUCUUGACGGUACCUAAUCAGAAAGCCACGGCUAACUACGUG